UGCGGAGGGGGCUAGCGUUGUUCGGAAUUACUGGGCGUAAAGCGCGCGUAGGCGGAUCUGCAAGUCGGGGGUGAAAUCCCGAGGCUCAACCUCGGAACUGCCUUCGAUACUGCGGGUCUCGAGUCCGGGAGAGGUGAGUGGAAUUCCUAGUGUAGAGGUGAAAUUCGUAGAUAUUAGGAAGAACACCAGUGGCGAAGGCGGCUCACUGGCCCGGUACUGACGCUGAGGAGCGAAAGCGUGGGGAGCAAACAGG
rnacentral:rRNA from 1 species